rnacentral:rRNA from 1 species
UACGUAGGGUGCAAGCGUUAAUCGGAAUUACUGGGCGUAAAGCGUGCGCAGGCGGUUUUGUAAGUCUGUCGUGAAAUCCCCGGGCUCAACCUGGGAAUUGCGAUGGAGACUGCAAGGCUAGAAUCUGGCAGAGGGGGGUAGAAUUCCACGUGUAGCAGUGAAAUGCGUAGAGAUGUGGAGGAACACCGAUGGCGAAGGCAGCCCCCUGGGUCAAGAUUGACGCUCAUGUACGAAAGCGUGGGGAGCAAACAGG